rnacentral:rRNA from 1 species
GGAGGUCACUGCUAUUGGGGUUCGACUAAGCCAUGCAAGUCAUCAGCUUCGCAAGGAGCUGAGGCGCACUGCUCAGUAACACGCGGAUAACCUAACCUCGUGUCCGGGAUAACCCCGGGAAACUGGGGAUAAUACCAGAUAGAAGAUAGAUACUGGAAUGUUCUAUCUUCGAAAGGCGCAAGUUUACUUGUUAGCGCACGAGGAUGGGUCCGCGGCUGAUUAGGUAGUUGGCGGUGUAACGGACCACCAAGCCUGCGAUCAGUACGGGUGGUGGGAGCCAUAGCCCGGAGAUGGACUCUGAGACAUGAGUCCAGGCCCUACGGGGCGCAGCAGGCGCGAAAACUUCGCAAUACGCGUAAGCGUGACGAGGGAACCCCAAGUACUCUUGCUUUUUGCAGGAGUUUUUGCCAAGUGUAAACAGCUUGGAGAAUAAGGGCGGGGUAAGGCCGGUGUCAGCCGCCGCGGUAAUACCGGCCGCCCGAGUAGUGGCCACUGUUAUUGGGCCUAAAGCGUCCGUAGCCGGUUUUGUAAGUUUCUGGGUAAAUCCCACAGCUUAACUGCGGGAAUUCCAGAAAUACUGCAGAGCUAGGGGCCGGGAGACGCAGAAGGUACUCCUGGGGUAGGGGUGAAAUCCUAUAAUCCUAGGAGGACCACCAGUGGCGAAGGCGCUCUGCGAGAACGGGCUCGACGGUGAGGGACGAAAGCCAGGGGCGCAAACGGGAUUAGAUACCCCGGUAGUCCUGGCCGUAAACGCUGCAGGCUAGGUGUUACGUUCUCUACGAGGGGACGUAGUGCCGAAGAGAAGUCAGUAAGCCUGCCGCCUGGGAAGUAUGUCCGCAAGGACGAAACUUAAAGGAAUUGGCGGGGGAGCACCACAAGGGCUGGAGGCUGCGGUUCAAUUG